rnacentral:lncRNA from 7 species
ACGUAAUGUCUGUUUGAAUUUGGAAAUGUUUAACCUACCUCAAUACUAGAUGAAGUGUUUUAUAGCAUGCGGUCCACGGGAACACUUAAAAUGAAUUUCUGCAUGCUGGAAUGCUCUUUCAGUGCAUUGAAAGAGGUGAAGGCAGUGAUUAAAGCAAAUUGGAAAGCCUUGGGCACUCCUAUUGCUUCAGCCUCGGGGCUGUGCAGAAGAUGACUUCUCAGCUGCUCAGCAACCAGCUCUUCUUCUGCGGAAAAUUCAGAUCAGAAAGAAUCUGAGAAAAAUACUUGAGGAAAGACCUGGUUGCUACAACCUUUGAAGUUUGACCUUGAGGUGCUACAGCACAGUGACUGUGGAUUAACUUCAUUUUUAUAUGGCUUUCAAAGAAGUACUGGUAAAAAUGAACAUAGAAAAAUAAAAAUAAAUAAAUCCCACAAAAG